rnacentral:snRNA from 1 species
AUCACUUCUCAGCUGUUUGGUAAGAUAAUAUGUAGUAUCUCUUCUUAUCAAUAAAACACCUAUGUCCUCUAUCCAAGGGCAAUACAGUGAAUGUAUUUUUGGAGCAAAGACAUGGAAUAAGGGCUUGCUUGAUCUGCUCCAUGCAUCAACCUGGUAUUGCAGUACUUCUAGGAAUGGUGCAACCCAU